GACGUAGGGCGCGAGCGUUGUCCGGAUUUAUUGGGCGUAAAGAGCUCGUAGGCGGCUUGUCGCGUCGUUCGUGAAAACCCGGGGCUCAACUCCGGGCUUGCGGGCGAUACGGGCAGGCUAGAGUUCGGUAGGGGAGAAUGGAAUUCCCGGUGUAGCGGUGAAAUGCGCAGAUAUCGGGAGGAACACCGGUGGCGAAGGCGGUUCUCUGGGCCUGACCUGACGCUGAGGAGCGAAAGCGUGGGGAGCGAACAGG
rnacentral:rRNA from 1 species